AAAUAAAACCUGACUGUGGGGUGUGGGGGAGGACCGAGGCGGACGCGUAUCAGCGCGGCCCCCCCGCCCCCCUCGGCUCUGGUCUGGGGAAUAGGAUGCUGAGGGCUUGGACCAGAGGAGCCGGAGCCCAUCCCCGACCCGUAGAUGCUCCAGAUCCCCCGACCCACACCCCAGCCGGCCCCAGCUGCCAUCCCACACUUACGAAGGAAAUGCAGGCAGCCAGGAGAAGGAUCCGCACCAGGAGGGAGCUCUACCCAGGGAAAAAGAAGAAAAGGACACAUUCAUUUGGGGCUCGGUCUAAUGCCUCCCACACCCAGGAUUCUGUGGCUAAGGGUGGGAAGCCUUAACUGAAGAAUUUAGAGCCAGGAGGGUCCUCGGAGGCUGCAGAUUCUGCUGUUCACUGUCCAGUCCCGUUAGGAGCACUUGGCUGGAAACCCCCGAGAAGCAUUCUUUGGUUCUGCACUUACCGCUCAACAGACAAGGCAGCCCACAGGGGAGCAAGAAGCUGAGAGCACAGGGCCGGAGGGCAACAGGGACCUGACCAGACCCAGGCUUCUGGCCUCUCAGCUCUGGAGUGGGCAACACCGAGUGGGCCGCUUUCCUGACCCACCUGCCCCAGUCCCCACUGCACACAGUGGCCACAGCCAUCAGGAUGGAACUGAGAUAAACCCUUUUAUUUA